rnacentral:rRNA from 1 species
AGAGUUUGAUCCUGGCUCAGAACGAACACUGGCGGCGUGGAUUAGGCAUGCAAGUCGAGCGGGAUUAACAACCUUCAAUUCUUCGGAAAAGAAGAUUGUUAUGAGAGCGGCGAACGGGUGAGUAAUAUAUGGGUAAUUUACCUUGAAGCUCGGGAUAGCCAUUCGAAAGAGUGGGUAAUACCGAAUGUGCUCGCUCCGCACCUGCGGAGUUAUGUAAAGGUGGGGAUCUUCGGACCUGCCACUUCAAAAUAAGCCCUUAUCCUAUCAGCUUGUUGGUGAGGUAAUGGCUCACCAAGGCUUACGGGUAGCCGACCUGAGAGGGUGACCGGCCACACUGGGACUGAGAACUGCCCAGACUCCUACGGGAGGCUGCAGUCGAGAAUCAUUGUCAAUGCACGAAAGUGUGAACAUGCGACGCCGCGUGGAGGACGAAGGCCUUCGGGUUGUAAACUCCUGUCCUGAGGGAGUAAGUGCAUGGUGAUUAAUACUCACUGUGUUUGAUAGUACCUCAGAAGAAAGUCACGGCUAACUCUGUGCCAGCAGCCGCGGUAAUACAGAGGUGGCAAGUGUUGUUCGGAUUUACUGGGCGUAAAGGGUCCGCAGGCGGUCUUGUGUGUCGGAUGUGAAAGCUCACGGCUUAACCGUGGAACUGCAUUCGAAACUACAGGACUAGAGUACAGGAGGGGAGAGGGGAAUUCAGGGUGUAGUGGUGAAAUGCGUAGAUAUCCUGAAGAACACCGGUGGCGAAGGCGCCUCUCUGGACUGAUACUGACGCUCAUGGACGAAAGCUAGGGGAGCGAAGAGGAUUAGAUACCCUCGUAGUCCUAGCCGUAAACGGUGUGCACUUGAUGUUGGAGGUUUACCCCCUUCAGUGUCGAAGUUAACGCGAUAAGUGCACCGCCUGGGAAGUACGGCCGCAAGGUUAAAACUCAAAGGAAUUGACGGGGGCCCGCACAAGCGGUGGAGCAUGUGGCUUAAUUCGAUGCAACGCGAAGAACCUUACCAGGGCUUGACAUGUAACUGCAUAUGACGGGAAACCGACAUAGCCUUCGAGGGUGUUACACAGGUGCUGCAUGGCUGUCAUCAGCUCGUGCCGUGAGGUGUUGGGUUAAGUCCCGCAACGAGCGCAACCCCUAUGUUUAUUUGCCAGCACGUAAUGGUGGGAACUCUAAACAGACUGCCGGUGAAAGCCGGAGGAAGGUGGGGAUGA